GACUCCUCCAUCUAAAUGUAAAAAAUAAAUGGGGUGCCAAUUUAUUUAGGCAUGUGGUUUGGUGUGGAGGGAGUUGACUUGUCAUGAAACACUUUUAUAAAAAUCAAAUAAGCCACCUAAUUAUUUAUAGGUUCAAACCUAAUCCCAUUAGGUCAAGGCAUCUAGCUUAGAGUUAGCAUAAAUAUUUUUGCACUGAACCUAAUUAGAAACUUGGGUUAAUUCAUGUACUAGCAAUUUAAUUAACCCAUAGAAUUUACAAUAAAUCCAAAUAGAUUAGAC
rnacentral:lncRNA from 1 species